UACGUAGGGUGCAAGCGUUGUCCGGAAUUAUUGGGCGUAAAGAGCUCGUAGGCGGUUUGUCACGUCGGCUGUGAAAGCCCGGAGCUCAACUCCGGGUCUGCAGUCGAUACGGGCAGACUUGAGUGUUGCAGGGGAGACUGGAAUUCCGGGUGGAGCGGUGAAAUGCGUAGAGAUCCGGAAGAACACCGGUGGCGAAGGCGGCCUGCUGGGCAGUUUUGCUGGACACUGAGGCGCGACAGCGUGGGGAGCAAACAGG
rnacentral:rRNA from 1 species